AGAUGAUUUACUUCUCUGUGCGGAUAAUUUUUCAACUGCUGAACAGAAUUCCGAAGAUCUCCUUUGUUUCCUCGCUGAAGAAGUUUGUAAAGCCUCCAAGACGAAACUCCAGUGGUGCUGGCCCUCUGUGGGCUUCUUGGGACAUUGCCUUUCCCCUAACAAGGAACAGGGUACUUGCCAUUACAAAUCUCUCCCUUCCGUCUAACCAUCAGGCUCUUCAUGCCUUCUUGAGCCUCAUCACAUACUGCAGGUCUUGGAUCCCUGAGGCUUCUCAACUCAUGCAACCUCUCUACGAUGCUUUGAAGACUGAACCUUUUUCAUUGUCCUGAACAGCCCGCACCUGUUACCAUGCCCUUCAAAGAGCCAUCUCCUCCGCCCCUGCUUUGGGCCUACCUAACUACCAGCUACCGUUCAAACUUUUCGUCUCAGAGAAGAUGAGCCGUGCUUCAGGGGUCCUUACUCAAUCCCACGGUUCCCGUCAGCGCCCUUUUGGGUACUUUUCCUGCAUGCUAGACCCCGUGGCCAGGGGUGGUCCUUCCUGUUUGCAUGCUGUUUUUGCUGCCAGUGCCCUGCUGGACAAAACUAAUGACUUUUGUUCUCGGACAUAAACUGAUGGUUCUUGCUCCCCAUGAUAUCGCUGCAAUCCUGAAUCAGGUCCAGCCAAAACAUCUCUCAUCUUAGAGACAUCUCCGCCUUCAAACCUCCCUCCUCUUGCCUGAUAAUGUUACUUUACAAAGAUGUUACUCCUUG